rnacentral:rRNA from 1 species
UGGGGAAUAUUGCACAAUGGGGGAAACCCUGAUGCAGCGACGCCGCGUGAGCGAAGAAGUAUUUCGGUAUGUAAAGCUCUGUCAGCAGGGAAGAAAAUGACGGUACCUGACCAAGAAGCACCGGCUAAAUACGUGCCAGCAGCCGCGGUAAUACGUAUGGUGCAAGCGUUAUCCGGAUUUACUGGGUGUAAAGGGAGCGUAGACGGAGGGGCAAGUCUGAAGUGAAAGCCCGGGGCCCAACCCCGGGACUGCUUUGGAAACUGUCCGUCUGGAGUGCCGGAGAGGUAAGCGGAAUUCCCAGUGUAGCGGUGAAAUGCGUAGAUAUUGGGAGGAACACCAGUGGCGAAGGCGGCUUACUGGACGGUCACUGACGUUGAGGCUCGAAAGCGUGGGGAGCAAACA